rnacentral:rRNA from 1 species
GUGUCAGCCGCCGCGGUAAUACGGAGGGUGCAAGCGUUGUUCGGAAUCACUGGGCGUAAAGGGCGCGUAGGCGGUCUGGAAAGUCCGAUGUGAAAGCCCGGGGCUCAACUCCGGAAGUGCAUUGGAAACUGCCAGACUUGAGUUCGGGAGAGGAAGGCAGAAUUCCCGGUGUAGGGUUGAAAUCCGUAGAUAUCGGGAGGAAAACCGGUGGCGAAGGCGGCCUUCUGGAACGAAACUGACGCUGAGGCGCGAAAGCGUGGGGAGCAAACAGGAUUAGAAACCCCAGUAGUCC